rnacentral:snRNA from 1 species
AUACCUAAUGGCAGGGCAGACACUAUGAUUAAAAGUUGGUGUUUUUCCAGCGCAAUGGAUAUCCAUUGCCCUCCAGAUGUGAUGACUCUGUAAUUUUCCCAAAUGUGGGAAAAUGACAGCAUAAAUUGUGGUAGGGGGGAGACUGUGAUCACAUUCUCCCCU